GAUGAACGCUAGCGGCAGGCUUAAUACAUGCAAGUCGAACGGCAGCACGUGUAGCAAUACAUGGUGGCGAGUGGCGCACGGGUGCGUAACACGUAUGUAACCUACCUCUAACAGUGGCAUAACAAUGAGAAAUUAUUGCUAAUUCCGCAUGUGGUUAAUUUGAGGCAUCUUAGAUUAACUAAAGAUUUAUCGGUUAGAGCUGGGCAUGCGUCCCAUUAGCUAGUUGGUGAGGUAACGGCUCACCAAGGCAUCGAUGGGUAGGGGCUCUGAGAGGAUUGUCCCCCACACUGGUACUGAGACACGGACCAGACUCCUACGGGAGGCAGCAGUAAGGAAUAUUGGGCAAUGGACGCAAGUCUGACCCAGCCAUGCCGCGUGAAGGAAGACGGCCCUAUGGGUUGUAAACUUCUUUUCUCAGGGGGUAAACUCUGGAACGUGUUCCGGACUGAAAGUACCUGAGGAAUAAGCAUCGGCUAACUCCGUG
rnacentral:rRNA from 1 species